rnacentral:lncRNA from 1 species
UCUCAUGUCUUCUUUUUUUGUGGUUCAUAUAAGAGCCUCAGGUAGUCACAUGUCUGUGUGCCCAGCAACAGGCUAAUAACCCCAGGAACACAUGAAAGAAGACAGUUUGACCUUGAGUAACAAUGGAAAAGGAGAAGGAGAAAAGGAUCCUCAGCAGUUCAUUAUAAAUGGAAUCAGUCCAGCUUCAAGAAAUUCCUUUUGGAGAAAAGGAAAGGAGAAGUGGUCACAUGAUUAAAGAAUACAUCUUCCUUUUCAACUAUAAUAC